CUCCCGGUGGCUCCUUCCCAGAAGCGUUUCCAUGUUCGCAUCUGUCCCAAAGGCUUCUGCCAGGGGCAUGAUGUGCCCGGAGAGUUUAUAAUGCUUGUAGCUGCAGGACGCUCACUCCCCCCAGAGUCCGCUCUAGGCGGGUAGAUUAGCAGCUCACAAGGCAGGGCACCUGGUGCUAUUGGGGGCCGCCUGCCCAACUGGGGACAGCAGCAGAUGGGAACCGCAGACCCCGGGCUGUUGGAUGCGUCUCCAUGUCUGGACACUUGGAUGAUGGUUUCUAUUCUGUCUAUCUGGUGGCACAGAAUAUGUUUGUGGUCACAAGGCACAGUGAUGGUGAGCAGCAUGCCUGGGAGUCUGUUACUGGUGAAUCCUUCAAGUUGUGCUGACGAUGUGAGCCCGUUGGACAGAAUACUAAAGUGAGCCUUCUCCUAAAAGAAGUCCUGAGAGAAUGCAGAGAGGAGAGGAGGGUCAAGGAAGCUGUGAAGAAACACUCACCUUUCAUUAAGUUCUCCCACAACCCUCUAUCACUUCUCUGUAGGAAGUCACUUGGGAUUCAGGGCAUUGCUCUUCAUUCCUUGGCAAGCUCCCCUUGACCUUUCUAAAAACAAGAAGAAGAACAUCAGACUGUGUGUCUGUCUUGUGUUCAUCAUGGACAGCUGUGUUAAGGUGACACUUGAGUACCUCGAUAUCUCCUGGGUGUAAUGUAUGUAUUAAAGGCAAAGUCUUUGUUAUCAGGCUUCAGCAUACAGACUUUACCUGUAGCAUGGUUGAUUUCAAGGACAUCUCUGACAACUUGAGAAUUGCUCCAGCAGAGCAAGAUCCUGAAAAUCAUCACCAAAAUCAUUGUGAAGAGGAGCCUUGUGCUCCCUUGUGAGUUGGCAGAAGACAAAGAGAAGUAAAAGAAGUUCAGUGAAGCGAUCCCCAAGAAUUUAAGCCCCUCAACGCCCUUGGAGGCCCCCUAGCCACACUGUGAGGCCCGGUAGAAGGCCAGGGUCCUGUGGGGAACCCCGGAAGUGACACCUUCCCUAUGUGCCAGCCUGCUAUGCCACAGCCAUCAGCCCUCACCAUCUCAGACACCCUGAUGACCAUUGCCACUUAGUGGACCAAACUUAAUUGCACUGGCCCCAGGCUCUGGUUUCAGCACAGGGGCACAUUUCUUGGGCUCCAGCUGUAGCGACUGAGACUCCAGAUUCCAGGUAGGAAAAGGCUCUCCAGUCUUCCAUAAAGGUUAUUCAUCAUACAAUACAAGAGAGUUGCCUACCAGCAAGUCCACAGGUCCACUACCAGUUUCCUUUUGUUCAAGACUGGUGAAUUAUCUGGGUCAAGCAAAUAUCUAAAGGGGUUCUGGAAGCAACUUGGAAAGGAAAGGACCCUACAUGGUGAUUCUCCCUACUCCUAUGGCUGUGGUAAUAUCUGGCAUUACACCAUAGAUUCACCACACACAGGUCAAGAAAGUGAAAGCCAUAGAUGCCAUCAAAUGGACUGUCUCCCAGACUAUGGAACCAUUAAAGUUAAGUUUCAUUGGGGCCAAGUCCUUCCAUUCCCUGUCUCUCUACUACUAAUGAGUCUUAUGUUUUGUCAUAGUCUAACUCCCUCUACCCUCAGGCCUGAACCAGGGAGUUGAGGAAGACAAAUACAGGAAACGUAUUAGCUCAUGUGACUACAGACCAGCAAGUCAUAUUUAUCUUUACCUUUUCUCACUGAUGCCCACUUCAAGUGUCUGGUUGUAUAAGAAAAAUAGAAGCUGUGGGAGUUUAUAGUUUGAAAUUGAAACACAGAAUUUACAAUUCCAUGCAUACCCUUCAACUGGUCUCUUGUUGCCAAAAACGGGAUUUUCCAUUGCAAAAAAAAAAAAAAAAAAAAAAAAAUGGAGUAGUGAACAGGCUUCUUGAAACAUACAAUCAAAUGUAUAAAUAAGGAAAAAAAUGUAAUCCAAUGGCCAUAAAAUUAAAGAUCUGUGAAAAGUUUUUGCACCCUGAUAAGCUCUGCUGAUGCAGCAAUCCAAAUCAGAGCAAAUCAGACCAAAUUAGAAUAAGCCCCAGUUUAAUGGGUGAAGUGUUCCCAGAUGAUUCUCUGGCUCCCUCAGAGAGGAGACAGGGACUGAAAAACUACAUGUCUUUUUUGGGGGGCAGUUUAAAUACCCUGAGGGAGUGGUCUUGCACAUCUUUGGGGGAGUAGCCAUGUUUGGUGGGACUUUCUGGGCAGCAGGCUCUGGCAGAGUGGUGGAGGCCCACCAGAACAUUCCAGAAUCUUUGGGUAUAUGGAUGCCAGGGUGCCAGGAGCUGAGGUGGAGCUUCCACCAGGAUAUUCCAGACUCUUUGGGUAUAGGGGCAUUGGUUCAAGUCUGGCUACUUCCUGUGGGCAUGAGGUGACUGGAGAAGUUGGUAGUUGGUGGACUCACAUCAGGAGGUGUGAGUAGAGGAGCAUCUGGUUAAUUGUUAUCUUGGAAACCUCAGGCAUCUGUUUCUUGAGGAAGCAGAGAAAGUAAGUUGCUAGGGAAAAAUAGAUUAUUAACAUCUGUCCUAUUUGCACAAGGUGUAAGAGCAGAUAGGCCCUUCAUUGGGACAUUUGGGAAGUCAGGAGGGUGGAGGGUCCCAGCUGCUGGACAGACCAUGUAUCCUGAAUAGGUGCCUGCUUGAACCUGGAGAGAUGGCACCAGCAGAGAUGUCCCAGGAGCUUGCCAGCUGAGGAGUUGAUGAGGAUCACAGUAUAAAGUCCUAUCCAUUGGGUCCAAAGAGAUUUAGGAGCUAGCUGUUUGAGGAGUACUCUGUCCCCCAGGAAGAGUAGAGCAGGCUCAGGGGCAGUUGGGUGUGUUGGUGUUGCAGCAGGGAGAUAGCUGUCAGCAUGUGAACAGAGAAGGGACCUCAGAAGGGAGAGGUAGGGGAGGUACCCAGUCAGUGGGGGAGUUUGGGCUGGAAAGUUGUGAUUGAGGAGGAAGGGCCUUCUGUAAAGGAGCUCUAAAGGACUCAGGCCUGUAGGAGAGCUUGGGGUGGCCCAUAGGUGAGUAAGGGCCGUGUGGAGAAGGAAAGGCCAAGACAACCUGAGUUCAAUGGAGAGCUUAGUGAGCUGUUGUUUUAUGAGUCCAUUGGCCUCUCAACCUUUCCUGAGGACUGGGUGAGGUAAGGAAUAUGGAGCUUCCAGGAAAUGUUGCAAGCUUCUGACAGGAGCUCCAUGACCCUAGAAGUGAAGGCUGGCCCGUUGUCCAUUUGUAUGGGAGUGGCUGGCCAAAUCUAGGAAUGAUUAGUAGUACUUGAGCCACCACAUCUGCUGUUUCCCUGCCAAUCCUCACACAGUUGGUGUCCUCAAAGCUAGUGCAGAAGUUGAUGUAUCUAGAGAUCAAGGGGAUACAAACUGGAAAGGAAGAAGUCAAAUUUUCGCUAUUUGCAGACAAUAUGAUAGUAUAAAUAAGUGAUCCCCAAAAUUCUACCAGGGAACUCCUACAGCUGAUCCUUCAGUAAUGUGGCAGGAUAUAAGAUUAACUAAAAAAAUAAAAAUAAAAAAAUCGGUAGCUCUCCUAUAUACAAAUGAUAAAUGGGCUGAGAAAGAAAUCAGAGAAACAUAACUAUUCACAAUAGCCACAAAUAAUAUAAAAUUCCUUGGGGUAGCUCUAACUAGGAAAGUGAAAGACCUGUAUGACAAGAACUUUUUAAGUUUCUGAAGAAAGAAAUUGAAGAAGGUAUCAGAAAAUGGAAAGACCUCCCAUGCUCAUGGAUAGGUAGAACCAACAUAAUAAAAAUGUCAAUCUUACCAAAAGCAAUCUACAGAUUCAAUGCAAUUCACAUCAAAAUCCCAACACAAUUCUUCACAGACCUGGAAAGAACAAUACUCAACUUCAUAUAGAAAAACAAAAAACACAGGAUAGCUAAAACUGUGGUUAUAUUUUAUUUGUGCUGAAAUGUGGAGAUAUUUUAUUUGCAUGUUAAUAAAUAAAGUUUGCCUGGAGAUCAGAGGACAUAGCUAGCUAUAAACAAAAGUCGGGCAGUGAUAGCACAUGCCCUUAAUCUGAUCACACCGCAAGCAGAGUCUCUGUGUGUUCAAGGACACACUAGGGAACAACGAAGUGUAGUGACACACGCCUUUAAUCCCAGUACCAACUAUAGAGACCUGGAGGUCUGUAUAGACAGGCAGUGACAAGGCAGUGAGGUAGCUGGGCUAAGAGCCAAUGAGAGGGCAGAACAGCAAGGCAAUAAGAGCCUAGGUAGACAGGAAGUAGCUCUCUCUUUUGGGAAGCUACAGCAGUGUGGUGAUCUAAGGUUAGCUGGUGACUCUCACUAUUUCCCUGAUCUCUACGGCUUUCACCCCUA